rnacentral:rRNA from 1 species
AUUGAACGCUGGCGGAAUGCUUUACACAUGCAAGUCGAGCGGCAGCACGGGGGCAACCCUGGUGGCGAGCGGCGAACGGGUGAGUAAUACAUCGGAACAUGCCCAGUCGUGGGGGAUAACACUUCGAAAGAAGUGCUAAUACCGCAUACGUCCUGAGGGAGAAAGCGGGGGAUCGCAAGACCUCGCGCGAUUGGAGUGGCCGAUGUCAGAUUAGCUAGUUGGUGGGGUAAAGGCCUACCAAGGCAACGAUCUGUAGCUGGUCUGAGAGGAUGAUCAGCCACACUGGGACUGAGACACGGCCCAGACUCCUACGGGAGGCAGCAGUGGGGAAUUUUGGACAAUGGGGGCAACCCUGAUCCAGCCAUUCCGCGUGAGUGAAGAAAGCCUUCGGGUUGUAAAGCUCUUUCGGCAGGAACGAAACGGCGAGCUCUAACAUAGCUUGCUAAUGACGGUACCUGAAGAAGAAGCACCGGCUAACUACGUG